CCUACGGGAGGCAGCAGUGGGGAAUAUUGGGCAAUGGAGGCAACUCUGACCCAGCAACGCCGCGUGAGUGAUGAAGGUCCUCGGAUUGUAAAACUCUUUAAGUGGGGACGAAGAAAGUGACUGUACCCACAGAAUAAGCCUCGGCUAACUACGUGCCAGCAGCCGCGGUAAUACGUAGGAGGCAAGCGUUAUCCGGAUUUAUUGGGUUUAAAGGGUGCGUAGGGGGAAUGCCAAGUCAGGGGUAAAAUCGCGGGGCUCAACCUCGCUCCGCCGUUGAAACUGGCGUUCUGGAGGGGGCGAGAAAUAUGCGGAAUGCGGGGUGUAGCGGUGAAAUGCAUAGAUAUCACGCAGAACUCCGAUUGCGAAGGCAGCAUACCGGCGCCCAACUGACGCUGAAGCACGAAAGCGUGGGUAUCGAACAGGAUUAGAUACCCAGUAGUC
rnacentral:rRNA from 1 species